rnacentral:rRNA from 16 species
GGAUGCGAUCAUACCAGCACUAAAGCACCGGAUCCUAUCAGAACUCCAAAGUUAAGCGUGCUUGGGCGAGAGUAGUACUAGGAUGGGUGACCUCCUGKGAAGUCCUCGUGUUGCCCCUU